CAGCAGCCGCGGGAAAACGGAGGGAGCUAGCGUUGUUCGGAAUUACUGGGCGUAAAGCGCACGUAGGCGGCUUUGUAAGUUAGAGGUGAAAGCCUGGAGCUCAACUCCAGAACUGCCUUUAAGACUGCAUCGCUUGAAUCCAGGAGAGGUGAGUGGAAUUCCGAGUGUAGAGGUGAAAAUCGUAGAUAUUCGGAAGAACACCAGUGGCGAAGGCGGCUCACUGGACUGGUAUUGACGCUGAGGUGCGAAAGCGUGGGGAGCAAACAGGAUUAGAUACCCCAGUAGUCCCUGUCUCUUAUAC
rnacentral:rRNA from 1 species